CUGCAUUCUCAGCAUGAGUCCCGGUGUAGUCCUGAGAAGUGAUGCUCCGAGUGUUAAGUUGAUGACAGAAAUGAGUCAUGGAGGCUUGGGCUGAAACAGAAGGAGGAGCUCACCCAGGAAGGCAAACAUGCACCAGUGACUGCUUCAGACAUGUAACAAAAACAACAAAGAUGAACUUCCCGUGGAUCUUGGAGUCGGCGCUCAGCCCACUGCGCACUUCGACGUAAUCAUACUUACACACCUGUUGUGAAACAGCCAC